rnacentral:misc_RNA from 1 species
UAGACUGGGUGAGAGUCAGAUCUGUAUAGAGUCCAAAUUCGCCUCCAUUACAGUGCAUCCUUGGUAAGACUCUUAAGCAUCUUUUGGAUUUUGAAAUUUACAUUUUGUAAUAAAUAUUAGUUUUUAUUCUGUACAUUUGAAACUCAUGUAAUUAUAUGAUGAUGUAAUUAUCUAUAAAUUUUAUUAAAAAAAAAUAUGAGUAUUUCUUAUUGAAUUGAGCUUGAGUAUGAUAUGAAAUAAAUUGAGUUUUGAAAUAUUGAGAUUUUUGAGAAAUUUUGAAAUUGUGUUGGUGGUUGACUGGAAUUGAUGAUAUGAUUAUAUUUGAAGUGUUUUUAACAAAUUCAGAAGAAUUGUUUUUUUCAAUUUAUAGUCGGCACUUUGCUGGAUUUUUUUGUAAAAUUUGCGGAAAUCCCGAAUUAAUCAAAAUUUCAAAGAAUGACAUAAAGGUUAGAAAUUUCACUUAAAAGCUUUUUAAUCAAUA